AGGCAAACGGGCUCCUGGGAUUCAAGAGAUUUGCAGAGUCAUGGAAAAUUCAAAGGAGAAUCUGCAUCACAGUCGGACGUGCCCAGGCAUGAACUCCAGGAGGAGGCAAAGAAAAAGGGAGGAACGUUGAGCAGCCGAGAGCCUGUUGUUAUGCUCCAGCCCCUGCRAUACGAAGUUUACGUGUCUGCUGAUCUUGGCAGCUACAUCCAGGAUGAGAGGAUGUGAUGGCUCUGCUCUGGGAAAGCUGCAGUCUACAAGCACGUGUGAUACUGGCAUCUGAAAUGAAGACGCAUGUUAGUGGUUCAGAGGUGAAAAUAACAGUUGAUAUAUAGGACGUGGUAGAAAAAAAAAUCCAAUAAGCAGCUUUCUGUUUGGCAGCAUUUUGCAGGUUAAACGUGGAUAUCUUCAAGUAAGGAUUUCAGUCUGUCCAGSGGAAUUGUAGCAGAGAAGGCUGCUGCAGAAGAGCUGCCAGGCUAGAGGAACAGCCUUCAUACCUCCCUGCAUACAGGCUCCUGURAGACAUUCAUCCCUUGAGAGGGGAAAUGAGUUUUCGUUUCCUCUUGAAAACAGAUAGAAGGAUGAGCAGCACUUGACGGAAUCAUCUGAACAGGAACUGCAUCAGUUCAAUUUUAACCAUAAAUGAAACAGCAAACAAAAUCCGGAUUUAUCAGAGAAGAGAACAGAUUCUUCUUCAGUGCAUCUGCUUCAAUUUUAGGUUCAGAAAUGUGAGGAGACAAGAGAGAACUCAAGACUUUUCAAAAUCAAGAUAUCUCCUUCUUUUGGGGUAGGAGAACUCAGAUUUGAGAUCAACACCUGCAAUACAGGUUGGGAUCUUCAGAGUAGGCUGAAAAUAUCCAAGUCUAUAGGAAUGAAACAA